CCUACGGGAGGCAGCAGUGAGGAAUAUUGGUCAAUGGACGAGAGUCUGAACCAGCCAAGUAGCGUGAAGGAUGACUGCCCUAUGGGUUGUAAACUUCUUUUAUAAAGGAAUAAAACGACGCACGUGUGCCUUUUUGCAUGUACUUUAUGCAUAAGGAUCGGCUAAAUCCGUGCCAGCAGCCGCGGUAAUACGGUGGAUGCGAGCGUUAUCCGGAUUUAUUGGGUUUAAAGGGAGCGUAGGUGGGUUGUUAAGUGAGUUGUGAAAGUGUGCGGCUCAACCGUGAAAUUGCAAUUGAUACUGGCGGGCUUGAGUACAAUUGAGGUAGGCGGAAUUCGUGGUGUAGCGGUGAAAUGCUUAGAUAUCACGAAGAACCCCGAUUGCGAAGGCAGCUUACUAAACUGUGACUGACAUUGAUGCUCGAAAGUGUGGGUAUCAAACAGGAUUAGAUACCCCAGUAGUC
rnacentral:rRNA from 1 species